ACACGAUGAAGGAAAGCAAUGCCCUCAUACAAUGUAUAGACAUCAGUCAGUCACGCAGACCAAGGGGUGCAACGAAGGAGGGAUGACUUUUGCUACCUCACCUGGACCACAAGGAGGAGGAAGCCAGAGUUUCAGCCAAUCCUAGUGAUCAUUUGCUUGUUUGAGGAAAGAUUAUCCUACCUUCAUUAAGACUCCGAUGGCAAGUAGCCAAUGAAAACAAGUUUAGCUGUUCAACCAUACCUGGCCUGGUUUAAUGUCUUCCUUUCCUGAUAUAUCCAAUGAAGACAGAGGUUUUUCACUUCAACCAGAAUGAGUGCUCUUCACAGAAGAAAGACCACACCCAUUGAUGUUUCAGUGCUGUGAUGUCUGCCUAUGAGAGCUCUGAUUUUGGGUUCUGAACUUUCACCCUGCGGAUGAAGCUUUUGUCCCAAGAAUGCACUGGGGUACCUGGCUCCUGUGGACCUGUUGGAGAACCAUGUUAUGUAGGAGUCUCUGCUUGCAGAUCUGGGCUAGGUCAAGAGAGUGAUGAAGGUUAAUAAAGUCUGAAUGAAUUAGUACUUCUGACUGCAAGUAUUACCCAGCCAGAUUUAAGACCAAAAUGGACUAUAGAA
ensembl:lncRNA